ensembl:lncRNA
GUCCUAUGACAAGAUCACAAUGCAGAGCAUCAGCUGGAGUGGUGUAAAGCUCCCCGCCAUUGGACUCUUUAGCAGUGGAAAAGCAUUCUCUGUUGUGAUGAAUCACACCUCGCCAUCUUACUGUUCGAUAGACAAAUCUGAGCUGGUUGGAUGUCAGGGGAAUGUAACGUUUGGUAGAGGAAGAGUAAUAGUCUGGGGCAGUUUUUUUAUGAUUUGGGCAAAUUAUGGAGAAAAGUCUGAAUACUCAAAUUGAACCUUUAUUGAUCCAGCAAUUACAGGAAAGUGGUUAAGCUAGAUUCAACACUACUUCUUGAAUGAUGUUCAGACCCUGGCUUAAUAGGAGUCACCCAGUGGAGUCACCCCCCUUCCCAGAGGAGGCAACCCCUUUCCCAAAGGAUUCAACCCAGAGGAGUCACCCCACUUCCCAGAGGAGUCAACCCAGAGGAGUCACCCCCCUUCCCAGAGGAGUCAACCCAGGGGAGUCACCCCCCUUCCCAGAGGAGGCAACCCCUUUCCCAGAGGAUUCAACCCAGAGGAAUCACCCCCCUUCCCAGAGGAGUCAACCCAGAGGAGUCACCCCACUUCCCAGAGGAGUCAACCCAAAGGAGGCAACCCCUUUCCAAGAGGAGUCAACCCAGAGGAGUCACCCCCCUUCCCAGAGGAGUCAACCCAGAGGAGUCACCCCCCUUCCCAGAGGAGUCACCCGAGUGGGUCCCUUUCAUGUUUUGCAAGCCAUAAACAAAGGCCUGUGGGCUAUCUUUUUGUCAUAUAUAAAAUUUCCUUUUCUACAGGGCUAGGCCCUUUAGGGCCAGUGAAUUGAAAUCUGACCGCAUACAAUUACAUUCUAGACUAUUCUAUGCUUCCAACUAUGUGGCAACAAUUUGAGGAAGGCCCUUUCCUGUUUUAGCAUGACCAUGCCCCAUGCACAGAGUGAGGUCCAUACAGAAAUGGUUUAUCAUGAUUGGUGUGCAAGAACUUGACUGGCCUGCACAUAGCCCUGACCUAAACCCCAUCGACCACCUUUGGUAUUAAAUUAAUUGGAAUGGCAACUGCGACCCAGGCCAAAUCGCCCCAAAUCAGUGCCCAACCUCACUAAUGUUUGUGUAGCUGAUGGGUAGCAAUUCCCAGCAGCAAUGUUUCAACAUUUGGUGGAAAGCUUGCUAAGAGUGAAGUACUCCUUAUUGAUUCCCAUGCUUUUGGAAGGGGAUGUUCAACAAGCAACUGUCCACAUACUUUUGGCCUUCUAGUGUAUUAAUACUUAAGGCUUUGCCUUUUGUAUGUCCCCAUACUGUACUAUUUCCUUAAGCCUUACCUCAGCUACAUAACAAAUGUAAGACAGGUUGAUAUAUUUAUUUUGUAAAUGGAACAUGACCAUGUGAUGCUCACUAACUCCAAGAUGUUGCCAAUAAUUUCCAUGGCAAAUAAACUUUGCAAAAGAAAAUGCUAUCUUUUAUUUGUUGUAUCUUUUAU